rnacentral:tRNA from 1 species
AUUUAAAUAGCUUAAAUUAUAGAGUGUAACAUUGAAGAUGUUAAGGUAGUAAAUUUUACUUUUAAAUA